GGCAAAUUCUAAGUUUUGAAGGAUUUGCAAAAAAUGUUUGAGGGACUGAUUGAGAGUUUAACACUGGGUCAGUUCCCUCAAACAUUUCUUACAAAUCCUUCAAAA